AUGUCUAUGAAGUUCCUAGUGGAAAUUUACAAAGAUCUUUUCAAGGUCAAGGGUUUUCUCAACAAGCUUUCAAUCACUUUUAAGGUAAUCAUCCUUCGUUCAAUAGAGACAGUUAUGGUGCUAGAGGUCGAGGAACCCGUGGAUAUGGUGGUCGUUCUCGCAUUCAAUGUCAGAUUUGUGGCAAGUUGGGUGGCCUUGCAAAUAGGUGCUACUUCCAGUUCGAUCAAUCUUUUUAGGGUAGUGUUGUCCCUAAUCUGUCUCUGAACUAUUAAAUUAACGAAGAUGUGACUGGAGAACCGAUGGUUCAGUUCGAUGGGUCGGUUCAUGGUGAUUCAGAUUUCCAUGAUGUCAUUGUAAUUUCAAUUACCGAUGAGUUUAGUGUUUCUGGAUACGGUGAUAUAGCUCGGUACCCGGAUUCUGGAGCCACCACUCAUCUAACUCCUAUUGUAGGUUGCCUACUAAAGUUUUGCAAGACAUACACCGUUUGAAAAACUGUUUCACAACCACCUGACUAUCAAGGUUUUUGGUUGUCAGUGUUUCCCUUUCGUGAGGCCUUACAAUCAACAUAAGUUGUAGCUUAGAUCUAAAGCUUGUGUAUUUCUCGGCUAUAGCUCUAAUCAGCGUGGUUAUAAGUGUCUUGGGUUCGACGGUAAACUCUACAUCUCGAGAUAUGUGCCAUUUAAUGAAACUAUCUUUCCUUUUGUAAGCAAGUCACAAGAAUCUCCUGUUCAACUAGAGGAUGAUCAUGUUGCCUCCAAGUUUGUGUUUCCCAAGCUUGUUGUUGGUUCA